rnacentral:lncRNA from 1 species
UAAGGUGGAGACUCUAGUUCUUGAUCACUCAAGUUUAAGAUCACCGUUUAUAAUUAUAUGUACGAAUCUCGAAAUCUUAGAAGAAUAUAUAAAUGUAGAAUUGGUUUAAAUUGAAUUAGAAUUUAUUUAUAUUUUAGAUAUUCAUCUCUUUACUGAACCUUUUCUAAUAUUAAUAAUUGAUUUGUACCACAAAAUUUUCACAAAUAUAUGAUAUAUGUUUAUGAGUGUUGAAGGAAUAAUUAAA